UCCAUUUUUGUGAAGAGCUGGUUCCGAAU
rnacentral:piRNA from 1 species